UACGAAGGGGGCUAGCGUUGUUCGGAUUUACUGGGCGUAAAGCGCACGUAGGCGGAUCGUUAAGUCGGGGGUGAAAUCCUGGAGCUCGACUCCAGAACUGCCUUCGAUACUGGCGAUCUUGAGUCCGGAAGAGGUGAGUGGAACUCCUAGUGUAGAGGUGAAAUUCGUAGAUAUUCGCAAGAACACCAGUGGCGAAGGCGGCUCACUGGCCCGGUACUGACGCUGAGGCGCGAAAGCGUGGGGAGCAAACAGG
rnacentral:rRNA from 1 species